GGACGAACGCUGGCGGCGUGCUUCAUACAUGCAAGUCGAACGAGAAUCUGGUGCUUGCACCAGAGGAAAGUGGCGGACGGGUGAGUAAUAUGUAGAGAAUCUGCCCUUUAGCGGGGGACAACAGUUGGAAACGACUGCUAAUACCCCAUAUGAGCGUAGCUGAGAUGCUAUUCUUGAAAACUCCGGUGCUAAAGGAUGAGUCUGCAUCUGAUUAGCUAGUUGGCGGUGUAAUGGACCACCAAGGCGACGAUCAGUAGCUGGUUUGAGAGGAUGAUCAGCCACAAUGGGACUGAGACACGGCCCAUACUCCUACGGGAGGCAGCAGUAGGGAAUUUUGCGCAAUGGGCGAAAGCCUGACGCAGCAACGCCGCGUGACCGAUGAAGCCCUUCGGGGUGUAAAGGUCUGUCAGUGGGGACGAAACUUGACGGUACCCACAGAGGAAGCAUCGGCUAACUCCGUGCCAGCCGCGGC
rnacentral:rRNA from 1 species